rnacentral:rRNA from 1 species
GUGCCAGCAGCCGCGGUAAGACGAACUGUCCUAACGUUGUUCGGAAUCACUGGGCUUAAAGGGCGCGUAGGCGGUCGAUCAAGUCAGGGGUGAAAUCCUGCAGCUUAACUGUAGAAGUGCCUUUGAUACUGGUCGUCUCGAGGGAGGUAGGGGUGUGUGGAACUUCCAGUGGAGCGGUGAAAUGCGUUGAUAUUGGAAGGAACGCCGGAGGCGAAAGCGACGCACUGGACCUCUUCUGACGCUGAGGCGCGAAAGCUAGGGGAGCAAACGGGAUUAGAUACCCCCGUAGUCC